GACGAACGCUGGCGGCGUGCUUAACACAUGCAAGUCGAACGGAAAGGCCCUGCUUUUGUGGGGUGCUCGAGUGGCGAACGGGUGAGUAACACGUGAGUAACCUGCCCUUGACUUUGGGAUAACUUCAGGAAACUGGGGCUAAUACCGGAUAGGAGCUCCUGCUGCAUGGUGGGGGUUGGAAAGUUUCGGCGGUUGGGGAUGGACUCGCGGCUUAUCAGCUUGUUGGUGGGGUAGUGGCUUACCAAGGCUUUGACGGGUAGCCGGCCUGAGAGGGUGACCGGCCACAUUGGGACUGAGAUACGGCCCAGACUCCUACGGGAGGCAGAAGUGGGGAAUAUUGCACAAUGGGCGGAAGCCUGAUGCAGCAACGUCGCGUGCGGGAUGACGGCCUUCGGGUUGUAAACCGCUUUCGCCUGUGACGAAGCGUGAGUGACGGUAAUGGGUAAAGAAGCACCGGCUAACUACGUG
rnacentral:rRNA from 1 species